UACGUAGGCAGCGAGCGUUGUUCGGAGUUACUGGGCGUAAAGAGUGCGUAGACGGUUUUCUAAGUUUGGUGUGAAAUCUCCCGGCUUAACUGGGAGGGUGCGCCGAAAACUGGAAGGCUUGAGUAUGGGAGAGGUAAGCGGAAUUCCUGGUGUAGCGGUGAAAUGCGUAGAUAUCAGGAGGAACACCUGCGGUGUAGACGGCUUACUGGACCAUAACUGACGCUGAGGCACGAAAGCGUGGGUAGCAAACAGG
rnacentral:rRNA from 1 species